AGACAUCUAUUCUGUCGGAAUCGUAGGCUUGUGAACCAAAUCGACUCCGUUUAUCAUAUAAUUAUUUUUCGGAAUUAAUUGGCGUCUGAAAAUAUCGGGAAGAAUAAAGACAAAGAUCAGCUGAAAUAAAGACUAAUAAACAGACCUACGAAAAAACGGAGGAACAUGGUAAAAAAUGAAGACAAGGAUCGAUUAAGUUUAAGGAAUCGAGAAGUUCAAGAUCAUCAUGGACAAUUAUCGAUGGGUAUCGU